rnacentral:lncRNA from 1 species
AAACGAAUGGUCUGUUUCCAUGGGACCUUUUGGACCCCAACUGUUGUUCAGUCCUCAGGGUUAUCUGAUCAGAAUUCCAUCCAGGAAAACACAAAGAUAUCGGCGUGUCUGGACUGAGGUGAAAAUUAGGUACCAAGUCCAGGAAAAAAGAACACAAAAACUAUUUCCAAUCUGAAGGAAAUAUGAUCAGAAAACGCAAAUUUUGUUGAAAUUGGGCAUCACGAUAUACCUUUACCUCCUAAUUGUCCAUAAGGAUGCAGUACGAUUACCAUGGAUUCUGGCAGGCAUGCAAAAAAUCCCAGCAGUAUGCAGUCACUGUGUGUCUGUGUGACUUUGUACAACUAACAUCACCUCUGCACUUCAUAAAUCUUACCAGAAAAGCCUAUUUUCUCAGCAGCUAAGACCUGGUUUUGUGUGGGACUGUGCAUGAUAAAUUAGAUUUGCCUCAAUGUGGGGACUUUAUGUGAUCCUCAGUUUCCUGAUGCAAUCCUUGCCUCGUCCUUUGCACCCACAACAUUUACACAGAUUGAUUGGACUGCUACUGGAACAGAAAAUCACCGCUGCGAGGAGGAGCAGUUCUCUGCAUAAAUCCUGCACGACAAAGCCACGGAGAUUUGCAAAUACCAGUACUGAGAGCAAAACCACAGCCAGACAGAGACAGAGGAUUGUGACCAACGUUCUUCGCAAUGAUUCUUUGCACGCAUUGGGAAGAAGGGAGAGAACAGAAGAGGAUAAACAAAGGCCACAGAGGAUUUAAUCUACAUGAUCAUGAACUGGAGACUGAGUCCAGAGCUAGAAGUGAUCUCACACACAGCAGCAGAUCACCCUGACCAGAAGAACCAUCCAAGCUAGAACAGCACUGCAAUUCCUUCCUUCCUGUUACUCUUGGGUCACUGUUGUAACAACUGUCAGUUUGCUAAUAAUCUUUAGUACUGCUUAAGGGAUUGGUGAUAGGAAAGUACAAUUAAUGUACACUGGCAUUAGUUUACAGAAUUAUCAGGUGCCCACUACCUGAAAAUUAGACUCGCUAAUGAAUUAGUUCUGAAGGAAAGCAACUAGUACUUAAAUAUAACAAAUAUUAACGUUUCCAGCAUGUUACACAGUUCUGAGGUAAAGUGUUACCAGUAUUCUGUCUGCUGGGUCGGUGCCUUGCAGCAAUGGCAUUUGCAGUGGGAACUGGCCCUUGCAGCAUUUACAGCCAAUGAGACAUUCUAGUCUCACGUGGUUUGUAUCAACCACAUCUUCAGUUUGAUCCUAUUUAAAAACAGCUGUUCUGUGCGGGUCAUAAUGCAGUCAAAGUUACAGAAUUUGUUUGCUUGGUCACUAGAGUGCUGUAUUUGGAAAACAACCCAGGGUACAGACAAGGGUUCAUUACUUCAGUGUUUAAUUUCAGUUUACAAAACUUACUGAAUCCACUCUGACUUAUGUUAGAGAAAACCAGAUAAUUAGAAGAACAGGCUUAGGAAACAACAAACAAAACCACCAAGCAGUGCAUAAUACCAACUAUCCAAUGCACUGAUUUGCACUGUGAGCUAUGAAGCCAUAGUGACUCUAUUACACCUUUUGAAAAUCAAUCCAGAAGCACACAAGUAUUUUCCAUUAGUUUAUUAAAAAUAAAAUCCUCAUGAAUUCGCUAUCAAAUAUUUUACAGAUGAGAAUUAAGCCAGAAGAGUCCCCAGAGUGAUUUCAAAAUAGAAGUAGUAUUUGCUUCGUCAGUUCACCACUUUUGACAAUGAUUUGUACUGUAACGCAUUGGGGUACUGAACAGUUCUGGAGAAAUUAAACUGGCCCUAUGGAAUUUAUCUUCUUCUGAAAGCAGUGUAAACAUUUUAGUAUAUUUAGUGAAUCAAACACUGCUUUAAAGCUAUGCCUUAAAGUGCUAAGCAUUUAUUUUUCAGCACUGCUAUGGAUGUUUACACUUCAAUAAGCCUUCUAUUUGUGGAUAAAGAGUUAUUGGUGUGUUAAUAGAAAUUUUAAAUUAAAAUCAGCUGCUAUGUCUGAAGCAUCAACAGUACUGAAUAAAUCAAUCUAGUGUCCACCAACGUCUAGAAUUCUGAGGUUGAUUUGUUCUGUCAUUUACCAUUAAAAUGGUACGUAUCUGUAAAUCAUAGGGCUGUCCCCAGUGUGCUCUAAAAAAUCUGUACUGUGCAUAGUUAUCUCACCGUGCAAAGUACU